rnacentral:rRNA from 1 species
GAGCGGUAACAGGUGUAGCAAUACAUGCUGACGAGCGGCGAACGGGUGAGUAAUGCUUCGGAAUCUGCCCAAUGGUGGGGAAUAACCAGCCGAAAGGUUGGCUAAUACCGCAUAAGUCCUACGGGGGAAAGCAGGGGAUCGCAAGACCUUGCGCCGAUGGAUGAGCCGAAGUCGGAUUAGCUAGUUGGUAGGGUAACGGCCUACCAAGGCGACGAUCCGUAGCUGGUCUGAGAGGACGACCAGCCACACUGGGACUGAGACACGGCCCAGACUCCUACGGGAGGCAGCAGUGGGGAAUAUUGGACAAUGGGGGAAACCCUGAUCCAGCGACGCCGCGUGUGUGAAGAAGGCCUGCGGGUUGUAAAGCACUUUUAGUGGGGAUGAAAAGCUCAGGGCUAACACCUCUGGGUCUUGACCUAACCCACAGAAAAAGCACCGGCUAACUCUGUG